AGGGGCCGGCGGCUUCGGCAGCCUCGGGGAGGGGAGGCGGCGCACCGGCCAUUUUCGGCUCGGGUGGAGCUAAGUUUGGAAUCCGUAACCUGGAGGUG
rnacentral:lncRNA from 1 species